CUAGCACGCUGCUCUAUCGAUGUGCUUUAGCUUCAUGGUUAGCACUGUUAGCACAAGCUAAGAGGUUAGCUCCCUAAACCAAAUCCCAUUCAUUCUCUAUGGUAGUGCUAAACCACUACGGAUGUAAUAUAUCUUUGGCCCCCUGUGGCGCUGUAGUGCGGGCCGAGCGAUUACCCGGAUGUAAAGAGUAUCUCCGGACAUUCUCCGUCAGUCUAGCCGGGAAAGAGCACCGAAGAGACGGCGCACCUUUACCGGACCUCGCGCUUUGUGGAAGUCACGCUGAACUGUAAGUACAUGAAAUGUAAUGUUUAAUAAUUAUUCAGAUAAAUGCGCAGCGUUUGCUGCUGUAUGUUAUUUAACAUAGAUUCUUAAUAGAUUUAGAAUACAGAUCUUAUAGAUACUCACCAGCUGUUCAGCUUAUACUGUUUAAACAUGAUAUACUGUCAACGUACAUAGAACAGUCAACUUUAAAAACGUCUUUAGCCAUAAAUACUGUACUUUGUACAAGUAUUACGUCCAAUAAAUGCAUUUAUGUUAGUGUUACGUCACCUGUUAGUUGUGUUUGGCUGCAUUAUUUACUAGUUGCAUGUCACAGAUGUAAUUAUUGAUGAUUAUUGAAUUAUUGAUUACUCAACUAAUAAAUGAGGAUCUUAGUCAGUCAAAUGUAAACAGAUUAAUGCCUCAAUGAUUAGGAUAAUGUAUAAUAUAUAUAUAUAUAUAUAUUGCAUCACGGCUACUUUUGUUUUUCAUCCUCGUGGUUUAUUUUGAAGCUCACCUUUUUGUCUGUAGACUUUGAUUAAGUAACAAGUGAGUUACUUGAAUGCAGGAUUUAUACUUAUAAAUACACUGUUUACAGCAGGUUGUGGUGUUAAUAGAUAUUCUUACUGUAGUUUAAUGGUCAGAAGGUGAACUUCACUUCAAUACACAUAUUAACAUGUCAUGUCUGGGACAGCAGGGAUGCUGCUCUGCACCCUUCAUCCUGAAGAAGAACUGUCCUCCAGGUACCAAGAUGCAAAAGCUCCAGGUGCAUCUCCAGAAGAAGCAGCCUCCUCCCUCUGGCUCCUCCAUACACACAGAAGGAGAUGUUUGCACUUCAGAUGUUCAUUUAAUGACGUUUUCAUUGUUGUAUGUUUACAUCACAGUGGAGGAUGAAGAGGAGGAGCUGGGGGGGCCCACGUUGACCAUCUUUCCUUCAAAGCAUCAAGUGCAGAGCUAUGCCACGUUGUCCGUCUCUGUCCCUGCUGUCCUCACCAACUGGACCUUUGUAGACAGGAAGGAGACAAGCGGAGGAGCAUCUGUCCACUUCCUGCUCUAUAAACGCAGUGAGCAGAAGGACCUGCUGAAGGAGACAGGAACUACGAGGCUCUGUGUUCAACAUGGAAUGUCCCUGUUGUGUUUAAUAAAUACAUCUGAUUCACGCUGUC